CGGCAAAAGCUCAAAUUUGAAAUCUAGCACCUUCGGUGUUUGAGUUGUAAUUUGAAGAUGGUAACCUUGGGUUUGGCUCUUGUCUAUGUUCCUUGGAACAGGACGUCAUAGAGGGUGAGAAUCCCGUCUGAUGAGAUGCCCAUUCCUAUGUAAGGUGCUAUCGAAGAGUCGAGUUGUUUGGGAAUGCAGCUCUAAGUGGGUGGUAAAUUCCAUCUAAAGCUAAAUAUUGGCGAGAGACCGAUAGCGAACAAGUACAGUGAUGGAAAGAUGAAAAGAACUUUGAAAAGAGAGUGAAAAAGUACGUGAAAUUGUUGAAAGGGAAGGGCAUUAGAUCAGACUUGGUGUUUUACGAUUAUCUUCUCUUCUUGAGUUGUGCACUCGUAUUUCACUGGGCCAGCAUCGAUUCGGAUGGCAAGAUAAUGGCAGUUGAAUGUGGCUUCACUUCGGUGGAGUGUUAUAGCUUCUGCUGAUAUUGCCUGUCUGGAUCGAGGGCUGCGUCUUUUGACUAGGAUGCUGGCGUAAUGAUCUAAUGCCGCCCGUCUU
rnacentral:rRNA from 1 species